rnacentral:rRNA from 1 species
CUCCGACUCCUCGCAUGGGGUGUCGGGAAAGAUUUCAUCGGUAUGGGAUGGGGUCGCGUCCUAUCAGGUAGUCGGCGGGGUAACGGCCCACCGAGCCUACGACGGGUAGCCGGCCUGAGGAGGCGACCGGCCACAUUGGGACUGAGAUACGGCCCAGACUCCUACGGGAGGCAGCAGUGGGGAAUAUUGCACAAUGGGCGCAAGCCUGAUGCAGCGACGCCGCGUGCGGGAUGACGGCCUUCGGGUUGUAAACCGCUUUUGAUCGGGAGCAAGCCUUCGGGUGAGUGUACCUUUCGAAUAAGCACCGGCUAACUACGUGCCAGCAGCCGCGGUAAUACGUAGGGUGCAAGCGUUAUCCGGAAUUAUUGGGCGUAAAGGGCUCGUAGGCGGUUCGUCGCGUCCGGUGUGAAAGUCCAUCGCUUAACGGUGGAUCUGCGCCGGGUACGGGCGGG